AACUUUUCAUAACCGUAGCCCUUUACACGCUUAGUACGGACAGAAUCUUUUGCUAAAGCUCCAUCAGGACUGAUUAGGGGUAAGGUAGCCUGGACAGUGUGAUUGCCUAUAUGUUUCUUCAACUGGGACACAUGGAAAGUUGAAUGAAUGCGUGAUCCUGGUGGUAACUGAAGUCUGUAUGCCACUGAUCCAACCUUGGCCAACACCGGGAAAGGCCUAAAAAAUCGGGGAGCCAACUUCUGAUUGAGGACCUUUCUAACUGAGGUAUGUCUAUAGGGUUGCAGCCUAAGAAACACCAAGUCUCCCACCUGGAACUCACGGUCACUGCGAUGUCUAUCAGCCAUUUGCUUCAUCCUGUCCUAAGCACGCUUGAGGUGGUAUUGAAGGAGCUUUAGAGCUGCCUCUCGAUGCUGUAAGCUCCUGUCAACACAGGCCACUUGAGAGGCUCCAGCCAAAUAAGGGAGAUUGUGGGGAGGUGGUUGUCCAUAGAGGGCUUCAUAGGGAGUGGACUGCAGGGCAGAAUGAAAGGUGGAAUUAUACCACCAUUCUGUCAGUGGAAGCCAUAAGGACCAAUUGGUAGGCUGCUCGCCAGUCAUGACCCUGAGGUAAGUUUCCAAAAACUAAUAAUGAUUGGAUGGUGUAUUCUUAAUUACUAAUAAUAUCUCAUUGAUCAUCUUCUCCUCAACUUGCAAUUGGGUAUUUAUAUUUGAACAAUCAUCGAUGUAUGUAAAAAUGAUUUUCUUCAUAUUCUCAAUUUCAUCCCAUAGACUUCUCAUAACAUAAAUUCUUGUAACGUUCAACAGCCUCACACAAGGACUGAAUAAUCUCUUAGCCUAACUAAGACGUAUGGUUAUAAGACACUAAAAUUGGAUCCAGUAAGAUCAUAUAUACUAGAAUAAAAUUAUGUAGAUUUGCAAAAGUAUUAUAGGAUUAUAAACUGAAAUGAAAAUAAAAAUUACCUCUAAGCCCUCCUUUAAUUGACAUUAUCAUAGAGAUUGAGAUCUUGGUCAUGAUCAAUAGGCAGUUUUUGUUUGGAGGAGUCGGUGGUAGCAAACUUGUGGCUUUUGUUAAACUUGCGGCUUCAUUAUUUAUUUGGCUAAAGGUAUUGUUAAGUAAUUUUUUGUUAUUUCGUAUUAAAGAGGACAAUAGAAUAUUUAUAUACAUAAUUAUUGAUAAUAAAAUUGAUAUUCUUAGCAAACUUAAUGCAUGCUGGACAUAGAGGUGAAGCCAGAAAAAUUUUUUAGGGACGGAUGAAUUUUUAAUUUUUUAUCGUUUACAUCUUUACAAUUUAUAAAAUAUUAAAUCGAAUUUUUAUAAUUAUAGGGGGCCAAAGUGCAUUUUAGGAGGGUCGGGGCCCAUGCCACCCCCCCUCCCCCAAUUUCGC
rnacentral:lncRNA from 1 species